GAGAGAGAGAGCAGAUCAGUGUGAUCACCUAUCCACAAUAUCAUUUGGUCUGCAUUUCUAAGCAAACCAAAGUGAUCUAUGAUUUCUGAGUUAAUAGGUACACCAGAACAUGGUUAUGUUUUAGGUUUUGCUCUUCUCUGAAUUUUCUGAUACAAGCAAACAAUUCUGUAUUACAGUCCACAGGCCCAGCAAGUACAAAAUUCACAACAAAACACAAUUAUUAAAAAUUUACUAUAUAUAUUAAGAAUCAUACUAAUUUUUAUGCAUUAUGGAAACAUUAGGAAAUUUAUGGUUAACGAAACCACCUUCUUGGUCUCAAUCCAGUUCCAGACCUGCAAGUUUAAUCACCCGCACAACCAAAACCGUUUCCUCUCAAACCAUUUCCAAGCUACAUUAUAGUGUCAGUGUAGAUGUGAAUAUAAUGUACAGGAAUCUUGGCCUAUCAUUUAAGUCAAUGACUGGAACUCAAAACAGGUUUAAAUAAAACAAAUGCAAUAAAAUACAAUGAAUAAAAGGAUGAAUUAUGUAAAGCACAGUUUGUAUUUAUAAAUGUUAUCCACUAGAACAGUGGUUCUCAACCUGUGGGUCCCCAGGUGUUUUGGCCUAUAACUCCCAGAAAUCCCAGUGAGUUUAGCAGCUGUUAGGAUUUCUGGGAGUUGAAGGCCAAAACAUCUGGGGACCCACAGGUUGAGAAUCACUGCACUAGAAUAAAAAAUGCCCUCCCAUAUCCUUACUGUAUAUCUAACAAUGAAAUAAAUAAAUAUCAAUAACACCACAGCAAUUACUAAGACGCUCAUGCCAUCCACUCGUCAAAUUCAAUUUAUCUGCCAAACAACAAGAUUCAAAUUACUUAAAGUAACAGGCCACAAACCAUUAAAAUAUAGUAACAAUAGUCACAACACAAACUGUAAUGAACAAGAGGGAGGCUAAGAGCAAAAAGGAAUAGUGAAUUAAGUGAAAAUGUAAACAAACUAAUAAUGUCUGAAGUAAGUUUAUGCAAGAUGCUAGAAAUGAAAUGACACUUGACAUGAGUAAGAUGGAAAAUACCACAAGGGAGUACAUGAGCUUUAUGGAAAAGUUCAGAAGAUGUCAAAAAGUGAAGGUGACAGAGAGCAACAGAUGUCUGCCCCUGGCAUACUGAUGAAAUGAUCACAGUAGCUGGUAUUGCAUUUUGCAAAACAUGGCUACAAAUAUGUCUUGACACCUCUUUGAAACUAACCAUUGUUUAAAAGAGAGAUCAAAGGUGAGAAGUGAACAACUGCAUGCAUAUGAUAUUGCAAUAUGAUAUAAUAGCAUGCAGAACCUGCCAAUCCAUCAUGUCUCUUGUUAUUCAUUUCAUUCAAUCAAGUUAUUUUUUCAUAAUUCCCUGAGAGUUCUUAUGCUGAAGGGCAGGUUAUAUAUUGACAGACCAUCCAUCUAUUCAUUUUUAAAAUGAAUUUUAUUCAAGGAAAACACAAACUAAAACACACAGAGAUACAUUUUAUGUCAAGGACAGAACGCCACAAGAUCAAAGAUAACAGAGUUUAUUGGAUAACAGAACUCAAAAUGCCCGUAAAAUACAAGGGCCAGGCAGUAUUAGCCUUUAAAAGCAAAAAGGGGCAAGGAAAAACGUUCAAAAGAUAAACCGGAUUAAACCGGAGUUUAAUCCGGGUAAAAACAAAACAGCUUGCUUCAGCCUGGGGAUAAACAAAACAGAAGCCGGGGAACAAAGUGUUCAAAAGAAUGCAAUUAAUUGGCAGCAGAUUCCUCUCUGCUGCCAGCACUGUGCUUUGAGUAACUUGAGUCACUCCUCCACACAGCAGGCAAGAUUUCCAAUACACACAGAUCAGCCGAGGAUUGAAGCAGUAGAGUAGACCCAGUUCCUUUCCGUAGUUCAAGCCAGAAGCAGAACUCAAGCCGUGGUCAGUUCAGUCCGAAAUCCAAAGCAGGAGAUGGCGUCCGUCAAGAAGACGACGGAAGGUCAAAGG